GGUGGGGGGGGGGGGGGGGGGGGGCCGCCGCGGCGGCGUUUGUGCGGGGAGGUAGCGGAAUCAGAUCACAAUGUCCCCUUUGUUCUGAUUCAAUUCCAGUUUUGAUCAAAUUUAAUGAUUAUUUUUUGUUUGUGUUAAAGAAAAAAACUUGGUUUUGGCGCAAAACCAACCGGCCAAUUUCAAUCAAAUUCAAAGCCGAUCUUGGUCAAAGUAGUUUUGACCAGUUCCAGGUUGAACCAAUUUAUCCUCGAUGUAGUGGACAAGUUCUUUUCUGGGUAAUGGCCAUUAUUCAUUAGCAUCAGCAUAACGACCAUGACCACUAUAAAGGCAGGAUUUUUGGCCCCAAGCAGAGCCCAUAUCCUUUCUCAUUUGCAACCAACCACCAUUUUCAGUUGUUCUUCACAUCAAAUUGUCAAAAUCUCCUUAAAUGAAAUUUAUACUUGAUUUCAAUUAGUAACAAAGCAAAAAUAAAGGAAGAGCAUUUAUAGGAGCCUUUUCACACUUUCCUUGACAGUGUUAACUUUGACUUUUUGUUUUGUUGUUCCUUAAUUGCUUUUGCAAAUUUAAUGUUUAAACAUUUGAUUUUUGUUAUAUUAGGAUGGAUCUAGCACUAUCAUCCAUUUGUUUGCUCUUCAAUUAGUGGCAUUUCCUAAUUUUAGUAAACUCCUUCAAUAUCUAUUAGUUUAAUGUACUUUGCAAUCUUUACAGGAGAAGGGGGGGAAAAUUGGGCAGCAGGCCAUGACUAUUACACAACAGGUGUGAUAGUGAGAUUUCAGUUGCAUGCAAUCAUGACCACAAUCCAAUUCAUGGUCACAACAUGUUCGCUAAAAUUCCCAGCUCCCCCAAAAUUACAAUCUUAGAAUAACUUUAAGAUACAUACACCCCCAGAUCCA
rnacentral:misc_RNA from 1 species